GUGGGAGGGGGCUUGCCCCCGAUAGCACCAGGCCAGUCAAUGUAUCUGCAGCUGAUCCAUCGCAAUCGGGGGCAAGCCCCCUCCCAC
rnacentral:misc_RNA from 1 species